rnacentral:rRNA from 1 species
GAUGAACGCUGGCGGCGUGCCUAAUACAUGCAAGUCGAACGCUGGAAAUCUAGCUUGCUAGAUUGAAGGAGUGGCGAACGGGUGAGUAAUACAUAAGCAACCUACCCACGAAGACUGGGAUAAUCUCUGGAAACGGGGACUAAUACCGGAUAGGUAAUCGGAAGGCAUCUUCUGAUUAUUAAAGGUUAAAAACACUGGUGGAUGGGCUUAUGGCGCAUUAGUUAGUUGGUGAGGUAACGGCCCACCAAGACGAUGAUGCGUAGCCGGCCUGAGAGGGUGAACGGCCACAUUGGGACUGAGACACGGCCCAGACUCCUACGGGAGGCAGCAGUGGGGAAUUUUCGGCAAUGGGGGAAACCCUGACCGAGCAACGCCGCGUGAGUGAUGACGGCCUUCGGGUUGUAAAGCUCUGUUGUAAGGGAAGAACGGUAGAUAGAGAAUAUCUAAAUGACGGUACCUUACCAGAAAGCCACGGCUAACUACGUG